AAAAGUGUGAUCUGAAUUAUUAGAGAGCAGAACCGUGAGAGAGAAGAGGGAGGAAGAAGAAGAAGAGAAAAGAAGGGAAAAUAAGGGAAAAAGGAAGAGAUUUGGAGGAAAUAAGUGAAAAAGGUAAGAUUUAGGUUGUUUAAUGUGUAUAAUAUGUUAAUUAAGCUUUAAUUUCAGUUUUUAUGAAUGUUAGGGUUUUGAGAAUUUGUGUUUGAUUUAAAUUGAUGAAUUAA
rnacentral:lncRNA from 1 species